rnacentral:rRNA from 1 species
AGGAAUAUUGGUCAAUGGGCGGGAGCCUGAACCAGCCAAGUCGCGUGAGGGAAGACGGUCCUAUGGAUUGUAAACCUCUUUAGGCGGGGAGCAAUGCCGGGCACGCGUGCCCGGAGGGAGAGUACCCGCAGAAUAAGCAUCGGCUAACUCCGUGCCAGCAGCCGCGGUAAUACGGAGGAUGCGAGCGUUAUCCGGAAUGAUUGGGCGUAAAGGGUGCGCAGGCGGUCCUGCAAGUCUGGAGUGAAACGCAUGAGCUCAACUCAUGCAUGGCUUUGGAAACUGGAGGACUGGAGAGCAGGAGAGGGCGGUGGAACUCCAUGUGUAGCGGUAAAAUGCGUAGAUAUAUGGAAGAACACCAGUGGCGAAGGCGGCCGCCUGGCCUGUUGCUGACGCUGAGGCACGAAAGCGUGGGGAGCAAAUAGG